GAACUAGUUUACGGUCCAAAUAAGGAAGCUCCAGUGGCCAGUGACAGUGUGGAAAUUGUCUUCUCUUAGCUGAUGCACAGUCUUAAGACCAUAGAUAUAGUAAUAAUAGAGAGGAAAAAGAAGCUUAAGGAUGAUUACUCUUUUGAUUGCUACUGUCUAGUUUGUCUUUAUAAUUGGCCAACUUAUGAAGAACUUCUUUACAACCAUAUUGGCUCUAUAAUACGCAACAAAACAUUCAAUGAAAACCUUCAGUUAAUCGUUCAUUUAGCACCGUUUCAGUUUCACUUCCUGCAGAAUCAGUACAACAUAAAACCUGUCAAGACUGUUCUUCAGAUACUGAAUGCUAAAGCGAUGUAGUCCUGUGAGGAUAUUACUUCUACCAAAAUGUUACUUAAGCGUUAUUAUUUGGACGCGUUAAAGGAUUGUGGAUACUAUGCUUGUGAUAUUAUGUAACUUAGCGAAUAAUUCUUGAAUAAAAAACACUGCUUAUCCCUA